GAUUUCCCAACUUCGGUUAUAAGAUCCCUCAAAGAUGAUGAGGUUAAUAGGUUCGAGGUGGAAGCAUGGUGACAUGUGGAGCUGACGAAUACUAAUCGAUCGAAGACUUAAUCAAAUU
rnacentral:rRNA from 1 species